ACGAACGCUGGCGGCAUGCCUAACACCUGCAAGUCGAACGAGACCUUCGGGUCUAGUGGCGCCCGGGUGCGUCACGCGUGGGAACCUGCCCUUAGGUUCGGAAUAACUCCCCGAAAGGGGUGCUAAUACCGGAUAAUGUCUUCGGACCAAAGAUUUAUCGCCUUUGGAUGGGCCCGCGUUGGAUUAGCUAGUUGGUAGGGUAAAAGCCUACCAAGGCGACGAUCCAUAGCUGGUCUGAGAGGAUGAUCAGCCACACUGGGACUGAGACACGGCCCAGACUCCUACGGGAGGCAGCAGUGGGGAAUAUUGGACAAUGGGCGAAAGCCUGAUCCAGCAAUGCCGCGUGAGUGAUGAAGGCCUUAGGGUUGUAAAGCUCUUUUACCCGGGAUGAUAAUGACAGUACCGGGAGAAUAAGCUCCGGCUAACUCCGUG
rnacentral:rRNA from 1 species